GGGAGGCAGCAGUGGGGAAUAUUGCACAAUGGGCGAAAGCCUGAUGCAGCCAUGCCGCGUGAAUGAUGAAGGCCUUAGGGUUGUAAAAUUCUUUCGCUAGGGAUGAUAAUGACAGUACCUAGUAAAGAAGCCCCGGCUAACUUCGUGCCAGCAGCCGCGGUAAUACGAAGGGGGCUAGCGUUGUUCGGAAUUACUGGGCGUAAAGCGCACGUAGGCGGAUUAUUAAGUCAGAUGUGAAAUCCCAAGGCUCAACCUUGGAACUGCAUUUGAAACUGGUAAUCUAGAGAUCAGGAGAGGUUAGUGGAAUACCAAGUGUAGAGGUGAAAUUCGUAGAUAUUCGGUGGAACACCAGUGGCGAAGGCGACUAACUGGACUGAUACUGACGCUGAGGUGCGAAAGUGUGGGGAGCAAACAGGAUUAGAUACCCUGGUAGUCCACACCGUAAACGCUGUCUACUAACUGUUUGUGGAUUUAAUCCGUGAGUAGUGAAGCUAACGCGAUAAGUAGACCGCCUGGGGAGUACGGUCGCAAGAUUAAAACUCAAAG
rnacentral:rRNA from 1 species